AGGCUCCAGCCGCCCGUCUUUGUAAGGAGACCACUGAGACGAGCAGGAGUGCGGAGCAGCAGCCUCUCUGCUGCCCUGACUUUUUAAGAAAUCUCAAUGAACUAUUUGUGAAGAAUCACUGAUCCUGCCUGCAAGGUUUUUGCAUGGCAAAGACAUUGAUCAGUGUUAAGUGAAGAUCACAUUUUAUAUGCGAUCUUGACUUUUUUUUUUGUCUUACAUUAUAUUUUUAUAGAUUUUGUUAUAAUCAUGGUGCUGGGAAAGGUGAAGAGUUUGACAAUAAGCUUUGACUGUCUUAAUGACAGCAAUGUCCCUGUGUAUUCUAGUGGGGAUACUGUCUCAGGAAGGGUGAAUUUAGAAGUUACUGGAGAAAUCAGAGUAAAAUCUCUUAAAAUUCAUGCAAGAGGACAUGCGAAAGUACGCUGGACUGAAUCUAGAAACGCCGGCUCCAAUACUGCCUAUACCCAGAAUUACACUGAAGAAGUAGAAUAUUUCAACCAUAAAGACAUCCUAAUUGGGCACGAAAGAGAUGAUGAUAAUUCCGAAGAAGGCUUCAAUACUAUACAUUCAGGAAGGCAUGAAUAUGCAUUCAGCUUCGAGCUUCCACAGACACCACUUGCUACCUCAUUCGAAGGCCGACAUGGCAGUGUGCGCUAUUGGGUGAAAGCCGAAUUGCACAGGCCUUGGCUUCUACCAGUAAAAUUAAAGAAGGAAUUUACAGUCUUUGAGCAUAUAGAUAUCAACACUCCUUCAUUACUGUCACCCCAAGCAGGCACAAAAGAAAAGACUCUCUGUUGCUGGUUCUGUACCUCAGGCCCAAUAUCCUUAAGUGCCAAAAUUGAAAGGAAGGGCUAUACCCCAGGUGAAUCAAUUCAGAUAUUUGCUGAGAUUGAGAAUUGCUCUUCCCGAAUGGUGGUGCCAAAGGCAGCCAUUUACCAAACACAGGCCUUCUAUGCCAAAGGGAAAAUGAAGGAAGUGAAACAGCUUGUGGCUAAUUUGCGUGGGGAAUCCUUAUCAUCUGGAAAGACAGAGACGUGGAAUGGCAAGUUGCUGAAAAUUCCACCAGUCUCACCCUCUAUACUCGAUUGUAGUAUAAUUCGUGUGGAAUAUUCACUAAUGGUAUACGUGGAUAUUCCUGGAGCUAUGGAUUUAUUUCUUAAUUUGCCACUUGUCAUCGGUACCAUUCCUCUGCAUCCAUUUGGCAGCAGAACCUCAAGUGUAAGCAGUCAGUGUAGCAUGAAUAUGAACUGGCUUGGUUUAUCUCUUCCUGAAAGACCUGAAGAACAUGCUGUUCGAAUUGCGUGUAUCUUUUUCCUUCAGCACCACCCAGUUAUGCAGAAGUGGUAACAGAGGAACAAAGGCGGAACAAUCUUGCACCUAUGAGUGCUUGUGAUGAUUUUGAGAGAGCGCUUCAAGGACCACUGUUUGCAUAUAUCCAGGAGUUUCGGUUCUUGCCUCCACCUCUUUAUUCAGAGAUUGAUCCAAAUCCUGAUCAGACUUCAGAUGAUAGACCAUCCUGCCCCUCUCGUUGAAGGAACACUUGGUUAAAUCAAGUUGAUGUGGGUUCCGAACUGUAUCUCUUCCGGCUGAGGACAGAGAAGUAUCUUGGAGACACGUUUUCAGAGGAAGUGGAAUUGCUUUUGCCCAGAAAAAUGGCAUGAAAUACAUGAAACAACGAGUGAUCAUGCUUCAGAAGCCUACAGCAACAUUCUGGGACUGCUCCAAUAUGCUUGAAGAUCUAAGCUUUUCUUCUUUAAAACUGGCACAUACUAAGAGCAGUCAUCUUUAGCCUAUGGUCAUACGUGUCAAGACACCAUGUUGUAAAGAGGGAUGAUUUCCUUCUUUUGAUUUGAAAAUUUGCACAUGCUCAAUGCUUACAUUGUGCAGUUCAAUGUCACUACAGCUUUUUUUUUUUUCCAUUUAAGCCAGACUCUUGAUACUCUUUUAAAACUUGUUGUGGUCUAUACAACAAGGAACAAAAGAAAGCUUUGAAAAAACUGUAACAUGAAAAAACGCACUGACAUUUUUUUUUUUAUUUAAUAUAGCCUGGACUUUACCUGCGUAUGCACAUGCUCAGAAUUGUCCUACUAGGCUGACCAUGUAUCACCUCUUCAGCUUGGAUCCUAUUGUGGAUUUAUUUACAAACAUCAAAUGCCUUCAAGCCAAUCCUUUUUGCUGUACGUUUUGCAGCCUACUGUAGUAGAUACGCAACAGAUAUGUGGGGAAAAAGAGAUAAGAGGAGGAAGCUAAUAAGAGACCUGUCAAGAUUGUAGAACUUCUUGAUUUCUUUUGAGAAUUUGUUGCCUUUCUACUAUUACAGCAAAGCAGCAUUUUGUUACUGACUGCCUAAAAUCACUUAAUCUCAGGUGAACGCAUCACUUGCCAAACUGUUGGAAUGCUAUUUGUGUUUUGUUGCACUGUUGAGUUUUUGUUGUUGUUGUUGUUUAUUUGGUUGGCUUUUUGGAGAGGGAAAUUUGGAAACGGGACAUACACAAAAGUGAUAACCCACCCACAUCCCCUUUUUGUCAUUACAUACAAGAAGAAACUAGCAGAGUUAAGAAUGGAGUAUAGAAAGGCAGUAUGGCAGGCACCAGCAAAGAGUUAAGGGCUGUUGCUCUUAAAAAUUAGUAUUUUUAUUAUUAUUUUUAAAAUAAUGGAAAUUUUCCAGUCACUGGGGAGAGGAGGGAAAAGUACAUUUAUUUUUAUACAGAGUUACUUAAUUACCUCCAAAACACAUAUGUUGGAAAUCAUUUUUGCCAAUGCAAAGUAUUUUAAUGAGGAUAUAUAUAUGUGUGUGUAUAUAUCUCACACACACACACACACACACACACAUAUAUAUAUACAUGAUUAGAGUUCAAUUUAUACAUUUGCUAUCCUGGUCAAGUUGACAGUAUAAAAACCCAAGUUUAUUCUAAAAGUGUAUAAUUUCACAAUUAAAAACACUAGAAUGUUUGCUGGGAUGAUUUUUUUUCCGUUGUCUAAAAACAAUUUGCUAAAUAUGAAAAAUUAUUCUGAUGAGUAUAUAGAGAGAAAAGAGCAAUCACAUCAGUAAAUCCUAGGUUUUUUUAAGUAAUUUACAGUUGGAUCAUAACAUAUACCAGCAUUCAUGAUAACAUUUAAAACCGUAAUCUGAGGUACUAAGUGUACUGAAUUUUUUUUUUUUAAGAAGGAAUUCAGCUGUGAUAUUUUUAAUGAAAAUCAGCAUCUCAUAUUGCAACAUACGUGUGAAAUGGGUAUAUAUAUCUUACCAUUUAACCCCACAAUUAAUAAAGUGGCUGAAAAUAAUAGUAACUCUGGCUUGGUGCUUGGUUAAAUACUGUCUUAAAGCUUCAUACAAAACAAAUAGGCUUUUCCAUAAGUGGCCUUUAAGAAAACAUGGAAGACAAUUCAUGUUUGAAAUAAUGCUGACAGGGUGAAGAAAGCCCAGUGUAAAAAUGAAUCGCGUUUUAAGUGAUUCGGUUAAAGGGUUUGGGCUCCCGUAGCAAACAAAUACUAGAUAAUAAGGAAAUGGGGGUGAAAUAUUUUUUUACUGUUGUUAAAUCAUUUUGUGAAUGUCCCCCUCAAAAGAAGCUAGUGGAAUAUUUGGCAUAAAGGGCAUUUGGUGGUUUUCUUUUUGUUUGGGGGGAGGGGGUUGUCAGAAAAUCCCUUUUGUUUUCUCUCUUCUUAUGUCUAACUGACUAGGGAACAAUUGUUGAUAUGCAUAGCAUUGGAAUACUUAUUACCACGUACUCUCACAAGUAACACAAGAAGCAAGAAUGACCAAUAUUGUGAUAAUUGGCACAGGAUCACAAGAUGUGAUAAAAAUUUUAAGUUUAUAAAGCUUUAUCAAAUAAAGUUUUAUUUUUCCCAUUAAAGUUUUUGUCUCCCUGUCAUUCAGAGGCAUUACUUUUUUUUUCUCCUAAAUAUUGGUCAAUUCCUAAUUUAAGAUGUGAGGUUCACAGUUGUAUUCCAGUAUUCAAGAUAGAUUCCUGAUUUUUCAAUUGGGAAAAGUAAAAUCCAAAAUGUUAGCAAAACAAAGUGCAAUAUUAAAUGUUUGCUUUAUAGAUUAUAUUCUAUGGCUGUUUGUAAUUCUCUUUUUUCUUUUUUUAUUUGGUGCUGAAUAUGUCCUUGUAGGCUCUGUUUUAAGAAAACUAUGUGGGAAAUGAUUUAAUUUUUCCUAUUGCUCUUCCUUGUGGAAAAUAAAAGUGUUUUUUUUUCUUUUUUGUAUAA